CCCGGAAACCGGGGCUAAUACCGGGAUGCUUGAUUGAACCGCAUGGUUCAAUUAUAAAAGGUGGCUUUUAGCUACCACUUACAGAUGGACCCGCGGCGCAUUAGCUAGUUGGUGAGGUAACGGCUCACCAAGGCAACGAUGCGUAGCCGACUGAGAGGGUGAUCGGCCACACUGGGACUGAGACACGGCCCAGACUCUACGGGAGGCAGCAGUAGGGAAUCUUCCGCAAUGGACGAAAGUCUGACGGAGCAACGCCGCGUGAGUGAUGAAGGUUUUCGGAUCGUAAAACUCUGUUGUUAGGGAAGAACAAGUACCGUUCGAAUAGGGCGGUACCUUGACGGUACCUAACCAGAAAGCCACGGCUAACUACGUGCCAGCAGCCGCGGUAAUACGUAGGUGGCAAGCGUUGUCCGGAAUUAUUGGGCGUAAAGCGCGCGCAGGCGGUUUCUUAAGUCUGAUGUGAAAGCCCCCGGCUCAACCGGGGAGGGUCAUUGGAAACUGGGGAACUUGAGUGCAGAAGAGGAGAGUGGAAUUCCACGUGUAGCGGUGAAAUGCGUAGAGAUGUGGAGGAACACCAGUGGCGAAGGCGACUCUCUGGUCUGUAACUGACGCUGAGGCGCGAAAGCGUGGGGAGCGAACAGGAUUAGAUACCCUGGUAGUCCACGCCGUAAACGAUGAGUGCUAAGUGUUAGAGGGUUUCCGCCCUUUAGUGCUGCAGCAAACGCAUUAAGCACUCCGCCUGGGGAGUACGGUCGCAAGACUGAAACUCAAAGGAAUUGACGGGGGCCCGCACAAGCGGUGGAGCAUGUGGUUUAAUUCGAAGCAACGCGAAGAACCUUACCAGGUCUUGACAUCCUCUGACAACCCUAGAGAUAGGGCUUCCCCUUCGGGGGCAGAGUGACAGGUGGUGCAUGGUUGUCGUCAGCUCGUGUCGUGAGAUGUUGGGUUAAGUCCCGCAACGAGCGCAACCCUUGAUCUUAGUUGCCAGCAUUCAGUUGGGCACUCUAAGGUGACUGCCGGUGACAAACCGGAGGAAGGUGGGGAUGACGUCAAAUCAUCAUGCCCCUUAUGACCUGGGCUACACACGUGCUACAAUGGGCAGAACAAAGGGCAGCGAAGCCGCGAGGCUAAGCCAAUCCCACAAAUCUGUUCUCAGUUCGGAUCGCAGUCUGCAACUCGACUGCGUGAAGCUGGAAUCGCUAGUAAUCGCGGAUCAGCAUGCCGCGGUGAA
rnacentral:rRNA from 1 species